GCAAGUCGAGGGGCAGCAUUUCUAGCUUGCUAGAAGAUGGCGACCGGCGCACGGGUGAGUAACGCGUAUGCAACCUACCUUAUACUGGGGGAUAGCCCAGAGAAAUUUGGAUUAAUACCUCAUAGCAUUAUCGAUUCGCAUGUUUUGAUAAUUAAAACUCCGGUGGUAUAAGAUGGGUAUGCGUGACAUUAGCUAGUUGGUGUAGUAACGGUGCACCAAGGCAACGAUGUCUAGGGGGUCUGAGAGGAUGGUC
rnacentral:rRNA from 1 species